AUGAGAAAGGGAAACUUCAGACUUACGCACCAGAUUGAAAAGGAGAGCAGGUUGUCCUCACCGGCUGUUUCUUCCACGAAAAAAAGGGCAGAGGUUGAUCAAGUUGAAAGCAAUCUGAUGUUCCUAAUUCCGGUUAGCGACAUGGGGAAGAUAGCAGGAGAAAAGCAAACAGAAUUACUACGUACAAGAUUACGCACAUCGUUCACCGGCGAUCGACUCCUUCACCAGAACGCGAUUGAAGAACAGAGUUCUCCAGCGAUCCAAUCCUUCACCAGAGUGGGCUCACCCUGCGGCCCGACUCCAGGGCCUUCCUCCGGGAGCAGCAGGGCCGGCACCAGAGCUACUGGUCCCACGUGCUCGCCCGCCUACGCCGCGACUCCCCGGGCCGCCGACGCGAUCUCCCGCGCCGACCUGAAGCUGACCAACACCAUGAUGGUCUUUGAGGCGUCGGCAACAGAGAUACAGGGGCCGUGGUGUCCGGCGUCGGGCAGGGCAGUGGCGAGUACUUCUCGCGCGUCGGCGUGGGCCAGCUCGUGCGGCAGCUAUGCAUGGUGCUCGACGGCGGUAGCGACGUCACCUGGCCGCAGUGCCAGCCCUGCGCCGACACCUUAUGUAGAUCCACUAGCACGUACAGGCCCGCCAUUGCCUGCUGCUGAUGCGCCGCAAAAUCAGUCGUAG
rnacentral:rRNA from 1 species